UAAUUACUCACUAAAUUAAAAAGAAAAGAAAAAAAAAGAGAAGGAAAAUACUAAAGCCCAUAAGGCAAAGCCUUAAACAAAACUGAAGAAAGAAAAAAAAAAGCAUGAAGGCUAAAAAGCCUCACCAGAACAAAAAGGUCUAAAACGUGCAUUCAGCAGAAGGAUUAGAAGUGUUACACGAUAAACUGAAACAGAGCACUACGAAACAGAGGCAGCGACUCAGUCAACGAAGAAAAAAAAAUUAGGGUUCUUUACAAAUCACUUAUUCGUGAAUUCAGAAACGAUUGUUUGACGGGUGUCAAUUGGAUUGGGGCCUACGUAUUCGCUCGAGAAGUUUUGAGGAACCGGAUUUGCAGGCGAGCAGGCUACGAGUUAGGAUUUCCUUCCCUUUCAGUGCUAUUGUUGAAUUGCCCUUCAGCCCGCUUAGAGAUGGACUUAUACUCAGAUCCAGUCUCUUAGCAGUUUCCUGUACAUUCAAGUCAACUUGUUUUUUACUUCUGCAUUGCAUCAAUUAAUGGAACAUGAGUAAUCACCAAGUCAGCCAUUGGAGCUUUAUCCGGUUGCAUGGGAGCUUCUGUUGCUUUACCAAUAACAGCUAAAGGUUGCAACCUACGUCGUCCGCUAGUUCGUGCUGGUCCCCGAGCCAUGAAUCUACGGUGAGCGUACGUUUAACUAACGUGCGCUGAGGGCAUGGGAGCUAGAGAGAGAAAGCGGCCGUCGUUUGAAACAAUGAGUGAAUUAAGUACAUGAAAUCACUGUUGUUCAAUAAGUUCAACAGUAAACUUGUGUGUUUGAUAGCCCGUUUGGACAAGCUGGAAAAAUUAGCUUAUUUUGAGAAGUGCUUUUUUUCAGAAGUACUUUUCUGAGAAGUACUUUUGUAGAGAAGCAGUUUGUGUUUGGCUAAUCAAUUUGAAAAGCACUUU